GCCCUGCCGGCGGAGGUCGUGGCAGCGCCGGACUCCGUUCCCAGGCGCUGGCGGGGUGCACACGCGCCUCCCGGGGCACCAGGGGGAGCGGAGCUGGCGCCCUGGCCACCGGGCCGGAGCCCCUGCUCGCCUCUACCCUCGGUGUCGGAACCCAUCUCGUCGGGUCACCUCCGCGCCCAGCCCGGCCUCCCCUCCGCGCUCAAACUGCGCUUCACCAGCUCUGCCGGCGCCCGCUCGCUGUCCUUCACCGCUUCUGCCCCCGGCGGGCAGCUGAGACCCGGCCGUGACCGCCCCCGGCCCAGGCCUCUUCAGCGCCCGGUGCAGGACGCCCUCCACUCCCCGCUCGGGGAGGAUGUUGGGGUCCCAGAGCAGCUGGUCCUGGUUCUCCUGGAUGUCUCUCACCGUGGCGGUUCAGGGGCUGGUCGCCGAGGUCGGCUGGGUCAGCGUGGUGUGCAGCAGGAAGACCUGAAAUGUGGAGAGAAGAAGGCAGACCAUCUCGGGAUGUUGGGACCCAAGGAAGGAUAUGCUGCAAAGGAAAGGCUACAUUCCGUGGACCCCAUUGAGUCUAAGUGGGCCGAUGUGACUUUCUGGCUGAUGGUAUCCACCACAAGUGAAGUACACCACAUUCAGAACUGGCCGUUAAACAUCCUUCACAAUCAGCCACCGUCUUUCUCCUCCAUCCCUAUGGCUAAGAAGAUGGCAGAGCUGUACAGUGUAAGAAGCCCAGAUGAAUGAGUACACUGCUUGGAGGAGACCCACCCGGGAAAGCCUCCUGACCUGGAAGACCUGCAUUGGACACUGCAGGAGCCAGAAAGAAACCUGCACUGGAUUAAGCCACUGUGAUUUGCGUGUUUAUUUAUUCCUACAGUAUAGUUUAGCCUACUCUGACUAAUACAGAUGCUUAAAAAGACCCCCAAAAAUGAUAGCAACUCAAGCAGCGAAAACCAGAACUGGCACUUUAAUUGCCAAAAUCUGGGAGAAAUUGCCACUAUUUGCAAAGCCUUUAUAAUUGGAUUGAGAAAUAUAACCAGUGACCCAUGAAUGCGUUGGCACUGGGUUGCAGAAAACCCGAUGGCUGAAAAGAAGGUGGAAAGAUGCUUUGCCCCUCCCCGCUGUCUGCCCUGGCUCAGACAUGCAGAGACACUGCCAGCCAGAAAAUGGGGCUGCCCAUCCUCUGCUCCUCCAUGAGGCUUUCUGCAGGUGCCGCUCCCUACUCUGCCACGUCUACCCCAUCCUCGCCAGAUUUAAGUAAAAGAGCAUUAUUGUCUGCUCUGAGUAUGGUGUCUAUUGUUUCUGUCCACAUUUUUAUACUUUUACUCAUGUGCAUUUGUCCAAAAGUAAUACAUCUAUAGUAGUGAGGGGUGUUUUAAAAGAUUUACCUAAAUACUAGCCUAUCCUGUGACUCCUUCUGCAACUUAUUUUUUCAUUUAACACUAUGUUUUCUAUAUUUGUUCAUAUUGAUACUUUCAAUACUUUAUUCGUGUUAACUGCUAUGUAUAUUCAAUAUAUC
rnacentral:lncRNA from 1 species